GGGGGGCCAGGGUCACCUGGUCGGUCCAGUCCCCUGCCCCGAGGAGAAUGUAUUCAGAUCCGGGAAACGCUCCAAGAAGAGCGUGUAUAAAGACAGCAGGCCCAAUGGCUGUUCUCGCAAGGCCCCCUCGAGCCAGCUGUCCAGAAACCAGAGGACUUGGACAGAAGAUGAAAAGCUGCAGUCACAUCGUGCUGACCGAGUACAUUCAUUCAAAUAUUAACUGAGCAAGCUCCUGGGAGGUCCAGCACCCGGAGCCCGAGAUCGAUAAACCACAAUCUCUGCCCCAGUCUCCACGGUCUGACCAAAGACAGACAGGAACAAAUGUCCCCACCUGAUGGGGGUGGGGGGGGCGGUGUCCUCCGGGCAGGAGGGUGAAUUCACAGUCCUGCUCCGGGCUGGGAAAACCUUAUCUGCGGUCAGAGGCCUGCCUGUGACAGGCACCCAGAACCAGGCCUGGGGACACCAGCAAGGACACCGUUCCGAUGACUGUCCAGAGGACGGGGCGCUUGGUGCCUGGCACUCGCAGGGCAGGGCAGAGGCUGGCAGGCCUCUGGGGGCACAGGUCCGGCAAGGGGAGGCCCUCGCCAGGCACAAUGGAACAGAGGGAGGAGCACCAUAGUGGCGCCAGGUUGGAACAGCCCGGAAGAGGGGAGUGAGCUGACAGGCUGGCCUUCACCUUGCAGAGCCUUCCUUCGCACGAAGCUGCCGCCCCCAAACCCAGGCCCUCCUCCCGGAAACCGGCUCCCACGGGCUGAGCACUAACUGCUCUUACGGUGGGAACGGCCAGCCCAGAGGGCAAGUGGCAGCUCAGGGCCCUGCACAAAGUCAGAAUCAGAACUCAGAAUUCCCGGUCCUGGCAGCCCGUGCUUCCCAGGGGUGGCACAAAGAGAGAGGAGAGGGGUGUCUGGACCCCAUUCACCCACCCACAGCCCAGGGACGAGCCAAAGGUGGGCAAGAUGUUGCCACCUGCCCCUCCAGCGACCCUGGAAAUGGAACAAGGCUCCCGAUGAGCCCGCUGACAGGCUAGAGGGCCUGUAAUCGGACAUCAGACGUGAGCCUCCCCUGGCUUCCCAGCCUGCUCCUCUCGCCUGCACAGCCCACUGCGCGGCCUGCCACCCCCGGGAGCGGUCCUGGGGAGGCCUCCUAAGGCUCCACUGAGCUCCCGAGAACAGGUCCCUACCUGUCCAAGGAACCAGGUUGGCGCUCAAUAAACAAAUCAAAGCUUGCCGCUGGAA